CGCGGGAUGGAGCAGUCUGGUAGCUCGUCGGGCUCAUAACCCGGAGGUCGUAAGUUCAAAUCUUACUCCCGCACCCA
rnacentral:tRNA from 1 species